rnacentral:rRNA from 1 species
UACGGAGGGUGCAAGCGUUGUCCGGAAUCACUGGGCGUAAAGGGCGCGUAGGCGGCUCAUGAAGGCUGUGGUGAAAGUCCGGGGCUCAACCUCGGAUCGGCCGUGGCGACUCGUGGGCUGGAGCACUGUAGAGGCAGGUGGAAUUCCGGGUGUAGCGGUGGAAUGCGUAGAGAUCCGGAAGAACACCAGUGGCGAAGGCGGCCUGCUGGGCAGUGGCUGACGCUGAGGUGCGAAAGCGUGGGGAGCAAACAGG